UACGAAGGGGGCAAGCGUUGCUCGGAAUCACUGGGCGUAAAGCGCACGUAGGCGGCUUCUUAAGUCAGGUGUGAAAUCCUGGGGCUCAACCCCAGAACUGCCCUUGAUACUGAGGAGCUUGAGUCCGGGAGAGGUGAGCGGAACUCCGAGUGUAGAGGUGAAAUUCGUAGAUAUUCGGAAGAACACCAGUGGCGAAGGCGGCUCACUGGCCCGGUACUGACGCUGAGGUGCGAAAGCGUGGGGAGCAAACAGG
rnacentral:rRNA from 1 species